rnacentral:rRNA from 1 species
UACGGAGGGUGCAAGCGUUAUCCGGAUUCACUGGGUUUAAAGGGUGCGUAGGUGGGUCUGUAAGUCAGUGGUGAAAUCUCCAAGCUUAACUUGGAAACUGCCGUUGAUACUAUCUGUCUUGAAUAUUGUGGAGGUGAGCGGAAUAUGUCAUGUAGCGGUGAAAUGCUUAGAUAUGACAUAGAACACCAAUUGCGAAGGCAGCUCACUACUCAAUCAUUGACUCUGAGGCACGAAAGCGUGGGGAUCAAACAGG